rnacentral:rRNA from 1 species
AUUGAACGCUGGCGGCAGGCCUAACACAUGCAAGUCGAACGGAGUGGCGAACGGGUGAGUAACACGUGGGUGACCUGCCCUGCACUUCGGGAUAAGCCUGGGAAACUGGGUCUAAUACCGGAUAGUGUGGGAUGGGCCCGCGGCCUAUCAGAUUGUUGGUGGGGUAAUGGCCUACCAAGGCGGCGACGGGUAGCCGGCCUGGGGGGGUGGACGGCGACAAGGUGACUGAGGCAGGGCCCAGACUCCGACGGGGGGCAGCAGUCGGGAAUAUUGCGCAAUGGGCGGAAGCCUGAUGCGGCGACGCCGCGUGGGGGAUGACGGCCUUCGGGUUGGAAACUCCUUUCACCAUCGACGCGGUAGAUGGAGAAGAAGCACCGGCUAACUACGUGCCAGCAGCCGCGGUAAUAC